AUGGCGCCACGUCGAGACAGAGGGCUGGUGCACGUGACCACGAUGAGGUGCCUGAACGCGAGCAACGCGUUUGUUCGCGCGGGGGUGCGUUACGACCCAACCGGGAACUACUCUGCCUAUGCUUUGGAGGGCUGCAAUGCUAUCGUCCUCCUGAUGCGGCGCUCGUCGUCGGGUGAGACGUUCACAAACGCGACCGACUACGAGCAGCUCAUCAAAGAUGGCUUCCGCUUGACAUGGGAUCCGCCACAACCUCCCCCUACGCCUGUACCUGCAGAUCCUGCCUAG
rnacentral:rRNA from 1 species